rnacentral:rRNA from 1 species
AUUGAACGCUGGCGGCAGGCCUAACACAUGCAAGUCGAACGCGUGGCGGACGGGUGAGUAAUGUCUGGGAAACUGUCCGAUGGAGGGGGAUAACACUUGGAAACGGUAGCUCAUACCGCAUACCAUCGGAUGUGCCCAGAUGGGAUUAGCUCGUGGGGGGGGGAACGGCUCACCUAGGGGACGAUCCCUAGCUGGUCUGAGAGGAUGACCAGCCACACUGGAACUGAGACACGGUCCAGACUCCUACGGGAGGCAGCAGUGGGGAAUAUUGCACAAUGGGCGCAAGCCUGAUGCAGCCAUGCCGCGUGUAUGAAGAAGGCCUUCGGGUUGUAAAGUACUUUCAGCGAGGAGGCGUUACUCGCAGAAGAAGCACCGGCUAACUCCGUGCCAGCAGCCGCGGUAAUUC